rnacentral:tRNA from 1 species
CAGAGAAUAGUUUAACUGGAGAAUAUUAGCUUUGGGAGCUAGUGGUGGGGGUUAGACUCCCCUUUCUCUGA